rnacentral:rRNA from 1 species
AGUCAACAUGCCCAAAGGACGUGGAUAACCUCGGGAAACUGAGUCUAAACCGCGAUGAGUCAAGAUUCCUGGAAUGGUUCCUGACUGAAAUCUAUAUGGCCUUUGGAUUGGACUGCGGCCGAUCAGGCUGUUGGUGAGGUAAUGGCCCACCAAACCUGUAACCGGUACGGGCUCUGGGAGGAGGAGCCCGGAGAUGGGCACUGAGACAAGGGCCCAGGCCCUAUGGGGCGCAGCAGGCGCGAAACCUCUGCAAUAGGCGAAAACCUGACAGGGUUACUCUGAGUGAUUUU